rnacentral:rRNA from 1 species
UACGGGGGGAGCAAGCGUUGUUCGGAUUUACUGGGCGUAAAGGGCGCGUAGGCGGCGUGACAAGUCACUUGUGAAAUCUCCGGGCUUAACCCGGAGCGGCCAAGUGAUACUGUCGUGCUAGAGUGCGGAAGGGGCUACUGGAAUUCUCGGUGUAGCGGUGAAAUGCGUAGAUAUCGAGAGGAAGACCAGUGGCGAAGGCGGAUCUCUGGACAGCUCCUGACGCUGAGGCGCGAAAGCCAGGGGAGCAAACGGG